rnacentral:rRNA from 1 species
GAUGAACGCUGGCGGCGUGCCUAAUACAUGCAAGUCGAGCGAACAGAUGAGGAGCUUGCUCCUCUGACGUUAGCGGCGGACGGGUGAGUAACACGUGGAUAACCUACCUAUAAGACUUGGAUAACUUCGGGAAACCGGAGCUAAUACCGGAUAAUAUAUUGAACCGCAUGGUUCAAUAGUGAAAGACGGUUUUGCUGUCACUUAUAGCUGGAUCCGCGCCGCAUUAGCUAGUUGGUAAGGUAACGGCUUACCAAGGCGACGAUGCGUAGCCGACCUGAGAGGGUGAUCGGCCACACUGGAACUGAGACACGGUCCAGACUCCUACGGGAGGCAGCAGUAGGGAAUCUUCCGCAAUGGGCGAAAGCCUGACGGAGCAACGCCGCGUGAGUGAUGAAGGUCUUCGGAUCGUAAAACUCUGUUAUUAGGGAAGAACAAAUGUGUAAGUAACUAUGCACGUCUUGACGGUACCUAAUCAGAAAGCCACGGCUAACUACGUG